AGAGUUUGAUCAUGGCUCAGAUUGAACGCUGGCGGCAGGCCUAACACAUGCAAGUCGAACGGUAACAGGAAGCAGCUUGCUGCUUUGCUGACGAGUGGCGGACGGGUGAGUAAUGUCUGGGAAACUGCCUGAUGGAGGGGGAUAACUACUGGAAACGGUGGCUAAUACCGCAUAACGUCGCAAGACCAAAGAGGGGGACCUUCGGGCCUCUUGCCAUCAGAUGUGCCCAGAUGGGAUUAGCUUGUUGGUGAGGUAACGGCUCACCAAGGCGACGAUCCCUAGCUGGUCUGAGAGGAUGACCAGCCACACUGGAACUGAGACACGGUCCAGACUCCUACGGGAGGCAGCAGUGGGGAAUAUUGCACAAUGGGCGCAAGCCUGAUGCAGCCAUGCCGCGUGUAUGAAGAAGGCCUUCGGGUUGUAAAGUACUUUCAGCGGGGAGGAAGGUGUUGUGGUUAAUAACCACAGCAAUUGACGUUACCCGCAGAAGAAGCACCGGCUAACUCCGUGCCAGCAGCCGCGGUAAUACGGAGGGUGCAAGCGUUAAUCGGAAUUACUGGGCGUAAAGCGCACGCAGGCGGUCUGUCAAGUCGGAUGUGAAAUCCCCGGGCUCAACCUGGGAACUGCAUUCGAAACUGGCAGGCUUGAGUCUUGUAGAGGGGGGUAGAAUUCCAGGUGUAGCGGUGAAAUGCGUAGAGAUCUGGAGGAAUACCGGUGGCGAAGGCGGCCCCCUGGACAAAGACUGACGCUCAGGUGCGAAAGCGUGGGGAGCAAACAGGAUUAGAUACCCUGGUAGUCCACGCCGUAAACGAUGUCUACUUGGAGGUUGUGCCCUUGAGGCGUGGCUUCCGGAGCUAACGCGUUAAGUAGACCGCCUGGGGAGUACGGCCGCAAGGUUAAAACUCAAAUGAAUUGACGGGGGCCCGCACAAGCGGUGGAGCAUGUGGUUUAAUUCGAUGCAACGCGAAGAACCUUACCUGGUCUUGACAUCCACAGAACUUUCCAGAGAUGGACUGGUGCCUUCGGGAACCGUGAGACAGGUGCUGCAUGGCUGUCGUCAGCUCGUGUUGUGAAAUGUUGGGUUAAGUCCCGCAACGAGCGCAACCCUUAUCCUUUGUUGCCAGCGGUUAGGCCGGGAACUCAAAGGAGACUGCCAGUGAUAAACUGGAGGAAGGUGGGGAUGACGUCAAGUCAUCAUGGCCCUUACGACCAGGGCUACACACGUGCUACAAUGGCGCAUACAAAGAGAAGCGACCUCGCGAGAGCAAGCGGACCUCAUAAAGUGCGUCGUAGUCCGGAUUGGAGUCUGCAACUCGACUCCAUGAAGUCGGAAUCGCUAGUAAUCGUGGAUCAGAAUGCCACGGUGAAUACGUUCCCGGGCCUUGUACACACCGCCCGUCACACCAUGGGAGUGGGUUGCAAAAGAAGUAGGUAGCUUAACCUUCGGGAGGGCGCUUACCACUUUGUGAUUCAUGACUGGGGUGAAGUCGUAACAAGGUAACCGUAGGGGAACCUGCGGUUG
rnacentral:rRNA from 1 species